rnacentral:rRNA from 1 species
AACGAACGCUGGCGGCAUGCCUAACACAUGCAAGUCGAACGAGACCUUCGGGUCUAGUGGCGCACGGGUGCGUACCGCGUGGGAACCUGCCCUUAGGUUCGGAAUACCUCCCCGAAAGGGGUGCUAAUACCGGAUAAUGUCUUCGGACCAAAGAUUUAUCGCCUUUGGAUGGGCCCGCGUUGGAUUAGCUAGUUGGUAGGGUAAAAGCCUACCAAGGCGACGAUCCAUAGCUGGUCUGAGAGGAUGAUCAGCCACACUGGGACUGAGACACGGCCCAGACUCCUACGGGAGGCAGCAGUGGGGAAUAUUGGACAAUGGGCGAAAGCCUGAUCCAGCAAUGCCGCGUGAGUGAUGAAGGCCUUAGGGUUGUAAAGCUCUUUUACCCGGGAUGAUAAUGACAGUACCGGGAGAAUAAGCUCCGGCUAACUCCGUG